CAUAGUCAAUGAUUUCAAACAUGAGCUCAAGAGAGAGACUAGAGCUGAUUAUAAAUCUGUGAGUCAUCUACAUAAGGAUGAUUAUUGAAUCCGUCAGAGGUGAUGAGAUCACUAAAAGAAUGCAGAGAAGGAGAACAGGGAUUUUAGGUGUCACAAAGACAGAGAGACAUUAGCACUCUGAAGGCAUUUGGAAAACUAGAUUGAGUAAUCUCUUUGGGACAGAACUUCAGUAAUAGAAUUUCGUGGUCAAAGGUCUGGGAGGCUGCCUGGUGAGUUCAAGAAGUCCAGAGAUCUUGGAUCUCUCAGUCAGAGCUGGCUGGCAGCGUGAAGAAUUUCAGCAUCAGAGAAGAUGAUCACAGAAAGAAAGGAGGAACCUGGCCUGUCUUUCCAGAACUCAUCGACCUUGUGGGAAUUGUUUGUACAAUGCAAAGCUGAAGUAAAAUGUAAAAUGCCUAUUUAACAGUCCUGAAAAUUUCCACAAGUUCUGAGGCUUACGUCAAAACCUCCUAAAUGAAUAUAACAGUAGUUAUCUUAUUAGCACUUUUGUUGAGGAACAUUUUUGAAUGUUUUGUAUUCAGUAUACAUUUGUUUGGAAGAAAUAAAUAGAUUUCCUAUACCUGAUUUACACUGGAGCUGAAAGAACCAGAGAUGCCAGAAAGAAUACUGGUAUUUUCUAUUUAGAGGACAAAUUUGCCCAGGACUAAACCUAACCCUGAAAUGGAUAGAGGAUAGACUUAGAGUCAUGGAUACUCAUUUUCUUAUGUUCAAAUCUAGCCUUGGACACUUACUAGCUGUUUAAUCCUGGGCAAAUUCCUUUACUCUUUGCCUCACUUCCUCAUCUGUAAAAUGAGCUACAGAGGGAAAUGGCAAACCAUUCCAGUUUCUUUGCUAAGAACACCCUAAAUGGGGCCCAGAACAGCUGAAACAAUGGAACAACAAAAUCCAAUCUUCUCAUGAUAGAGAUGAAAAGGGCCCCUUGAUGGAGAGAGAGAAGCACUAGCAAGUAAGGGAAUAAGGAAAAAUAUUCCUACAGAAAAAGGUACCUGAAGAACUAAGGAUUAUAAAGGGAGAUAUGGAGAUUGAGGUGGGAAGUAUAUUCCAAGCAUGGAGGACUGCCAAUCCAUUUUUUUGGGUAGAAGAAUAGUUUAGCUGGUAUGUAAAAGGA